ACCGAGGCGCGAGCUGGAGAGCUUCCUCCAACUGCCGGCUUCUGCCUUUCUCGGUCUCUCUCGCUGGGGCUUGGCUCCCUCGGCCGCUGCGGGUACAGCUGCUGCCCCAACCCCCGAGCUACAGCGGAGAGCAGAUCUGGGGGCGCCCUUAGCCGCUCUGCCGCUUCGAGGGGAGGGAGAUCCGCUCAUUGGAGCCCUCAUUACACCCCCUCCUACUCUUUGGUUGCCCAGCUGUGCUUGCCACAUGACCUCCAAAAACAGACUCACCGUUAUGAGAAAGCACAUCAAAUUUAGCCUUGAAACAGAGGCCUCCUUGCACAAUAGUUUGGUUGUACCUGCCAAUCUGAAAGCAAGCAAACAUAGACACUGAACUUUCUAAGUUGCCAGAACACCUGUCAUCAAAGUUGCAUCUGCACCUGCAUCACACAAAGUUGUCAACAAAGAUGCAUCUGCCAAGGUCUCUUCCCAAUUCUCCUUGCUUCAUGAUCCACCAUUUACUGACAGAAGAUUGGUAAGCAAUUGAUCAUGAAUUGUUAAAAAACAAACAAACAAACAUAAACACCACCCUACAUAGCAAGCUCCACAGCGUGUUUCCCCCAUAAGGUCACCUUGUCUGUUACCUUUGCAGGGAGAAUUGCUCCUCCAGCAGUGUCUGGAAUGCAGGCAGACAAGAUGCAUAGAGAGACUUCUCACGCCAGUGAGUCGGAACGCUAGGAGGGGAAGUAGGCACCGAAUCCAGCCGACCUAGACACACACCAGUGAUGCAUCAAGUGAGCAUCUUCCCAGCAACAGCACAUUGCCGUGGUGCUUGAAAUGGUCCUUUGGUGCAAUGGUGGAGUUAAAAUUCAAGCUCAGUCACUGAAGUCACCCCCCUCCCAUGCUAAUACUUUGGCUUAAGGAAAAGGGAGCCAGUCGUUAUUUGGGCAAUGUGGGAUAGAGAGGGAUAGCGAGACAGAGAGGGAUAGCAGUUGCAUUGGAAGAAAGCAUGGACACCGCAGGGGCUUGAACUCCGUCCUGGGAACCAGGAGUACCAACCACCAGUGUCUUUUGCUUUUUUUUUAGCAAUGCAACAAGGGGAAAAGCAAAACCUGAGAGAACAUUCACAGGGAAAAAGAAAACCUUAAGAUGUUAAGAAGAGCUCUUUGGAGAGAACUGUGGAGAGAGCAACAGAAAAGAAAAUGGGAAAAAGGAGACACCAAUACAAAAAACAUUGUCUUGAAAAAAGACCACUGAGUGGUGGAAUGUGAACUUACCUAAGGCAGCACAGCCCAAAUGCAGGUGACUCACUUGAUGUAUUGUGAACUCUUGGAAACUUGAAGAGCUGGAACAAAAGAAGUGUUCCCCUACCUUCAGGUGAGCCUCAUUGUGGUGACAUGGAAUAGGGCCUCUUCUGACAACUCAGUCACUGCAACCUGAAAGAGUCUUAGCACAAUGAGUUGCAGAUGGAACACAAUAGAGAUUUUCUCCCUAGCCAAGCAAGGCAUACUCUGGGAAGCUUGAAAGAAAGAAGAGCUGGAACAAAAGAAGGGUUCUACCUGCAGGUGAUCCUUUUCUUACCACCAUGACUUCUGGGACUCAGCUGGAAGGGCUGGCUUCAUCUGAGUGCUGGGAACUCUUUGGAGAUACCUGUGAAGAGACCACCAGAAAAGAAAAUGGGGAAAAGGAGAGACCAAUACAAAAAACAUGUUAUUGGGAAAAAAAGACCGCUGAGUGGUGGAAUGUGAACUUACCUAAAGCAGAACAGUCCAAAUGCAGGUGACUCUCACUUCAGGUACAGUGAACUCUGGGAAGCCUGAAGGAAAGAAGAGCUGGAACAAAAGAAGAAGUCUUCUCCUACCUGCAGGUGAGCCUCAUUUUGGUGACACAAAAUAGGGCUUCUUCUGAAAACUCAGUCACCGCAACCUGAAAGUCUUUGCACAAUGUGUUGCAGACAGAACACAGUAAGAGACUUUCUCCCUAGCCUAGGAAGGCAUCCUCACCUAAAUGUCCUUCAGUCAUGGAAUGCCAUUUUGAUUGCCAUUUUUAUUUGAAGCUGGAUGAGCCUUUGAUCUAGAGGGGCACAACAGAGAGAUGAGAUUCAGACUUCAAUCUCUGCCAUUAAGCUUGGUAUGAAAGAAGGAAGACUGUUCACCCUUUUGUUUGUCCAUCUGAGGGUGACAUUGUGUCCUGCGGGUCCCAUUCUUGGUCUGCGAUCUAGAGUCGCUAGUUUCUCCCCAGCCACCUUCCACCAAUCCUACAGAAAAUGAAUUUCAAAAAAACAAACAGCUUUUCUUACCACCAUGACUUCUGGGACUCUGCUGGAGGAGCUGGCUUCAUUUGAGGGUUUGGAGCUCUUUGGAGAUACCUAUGAAGAGACCAGCAGAAAAGAAA